UGAGGAGGUAGUGACGAAAAAUAACGUGACCGUUCUCUUCGAGGCCGGUUAUCGGAAUGGGUACAAUUUAAACCAGUUAACGAGGAUCUAUGAGAGGGCAAGUCUGGUGCCAGCAGCCGCGGUAAUUCCAGCUCUCAAAGUGUAUAUCGUCAUUGCUGCGGUUAAAAAGCUCGUACUUGGAUCUGCGCCUCAGGAAGCCGGUCCGUCCUUUGGACGAGAACUGGUCGCCUAGGCUAGUACUGUCGGUUUUCCCUGCGUUGCCUUGAUCGGUCGCGUAGGGUGGCCGGCGAGUUUACCUUGAAAAAAUUAGAGUGCUCAACGCGGGCUGACGCCUGAAUACUCGUGCAUGGAAUAAUGAAAUAGGAUCUCGGUUCUAUAUUGUUGGUUUUCUGAUCUGAGAUAAUGGUUAAGAGGGACGGACGGGGGCAUUCGUAUCGCUGCGUGAGAGGUGAAAUUCUUGGACCGUAGCGAGACGCCCGACUGCGAAAGCAUUUGCCAAGAAUGUCUUCAUUAAUCAAGAACGAAAGACAGAGGUUCGAAGGCGAUCAGAUACCGCCCUAGUUCUGACCGUAAACGAUACCAACUAGCGUUCCGUCGGUGGUAAAUACGCCUUGACGGGCAGCUUCCCGG
rnacentral:rRNA from 1 species